CUCUACUCAGUCAGUCUGGAUUUCUAGCUGUUUGCUCCUGCAUAGAUUUUGUUACCCUGAUGUGCCUGUUUUCCCUAGCCUCGUGCUGCUUUUUCCCUCCGCUACAGUCCCGUCUGCUUUGACUCUGGUACCUGUCUCCAGUCCCUCGUCUUCUCAGUCCUGCUUCUCUGACCUGGAUCGACACCCCACCUUCAUCGCGUGGACUGACCAUUUAAAAACCUGUCCUACAUCCAGACUAGAAAUGUCUGAACUCCCGGCAAGUCAGAUGGGCCUUUUACUUUGGAAGAUUCAAUUUCACACUCACUUAUCGCCCCAGUUCGAGGAAUACCAAGCCUGAUGCCCUCACCAGUUAACCACUGACAACACGGGUACCAAGCCAGAAGCCAUUGUGCCAUCCACCUGCAUGAUUGCCGCCGUUGCCUGGGAGAUCGAGUCCUGGUUCCGCCAGGCUCAGCAGAACCAGCCUGCCCCGGUCCUGUCUGCUUUGACUCUGGUACCUGUCUCCAGUCCCUCGUCUCCUCAGUCCUGCUUCUCUGCCCUGGAUCUUCGCUCUACUGCUUCAUUGGAUUCCCCUCCAGAACUGCUUACCCGGUUCCUAAUCUCCUUGCACUCAGCCUCAGUCCAGAUUCCCUACUACCCACCCAAUAUUCCCUUGGACUGCACCCUAUCUCCUCUCCUGAUUUUCAAUAAAAAUAUUGGUUACCUGUC
ensembl:lncRNA